CUAUCCCACGGUACUUAAUCUCUUAUCGGUGUGAUGCCUCAAAUGUAUUACCAUUAUUUGAGAGCUUAAGCUUGUCGUUCGCUAAAUUUAUGAUUCUGGUAAAAAAUCUUUGUAUUAAUAUUGUUUGACUGCUUGUUAUUUUUUUUCGUCUUUUUUUUAAUUAAUUGAAUAAAUUUGUUUUCAACUAAAAUUUAGUUUAAUCGAAGCAG
rnacentral:misc_RNA from 1 species